rnacentral:lncRNA from 1 species
GUUUCUUAAGAGUCUUCUAGUUGUUGAGCUGAAAUUCGGCAUUUCCAGUGCUGAAAUUCAAGGUCUCAUGAAUUAUUUCUGUGUCCAUUAGUUUUUCUAUCACUCCCAGUGUAUAGAUAUUAGAAUAGCAGGAUGCCAAGGGUAAAGGAGGAAGGAAAUAUAGAAGGCAAGUCACUGACUUGGCCACUGCUGCCAGCGCUGGGCAGCUCUGCUGUUUAUGCUCCCCAGCUCAUAGCCUGCCCACUCUCAGACGCACGAACUGAGCGUCUUGAGAUGUUGGCACUUGUUUCUCUGGUGUGUUCAUGCCCAACCAACCCAACUAGGUGCUGCUCCUUGGAAACAUAAAACAAGUCCUUUUCUGUUUGUGUACCCCCAUAGCCAGGUGAGAUCCAAAUAUAAAUAAAUAUUUAUGGCAAGGAGAUUGUUGCUUUGUGUUACAACUUACGUUUAUGAUUUUGUGCUCUAAUUUUUAGAUAAACUGCUAUAGUUUUCCACUAUUGAGCUGAAUUUCGUAUCACCAUCAAAAGUUACCUACCUACAAGUCCCUAGUAGAGAAAAUUUAACUUCUGGCUUUAAAAAAGGGACAGAAAAGCAGGCAGAUCUGCUAGUAAGCAAACUACAGCUCCCCCGAGGAGACACACAGGCAGUGGGUAAGAGGAACAGACCCAUGGCUCCACUGAAGACACAGAGCAGCAGACGAAAAAGACAUGUCCUAAAUGUUAAAUGGUAAGGAGGGGUAGGGUGAAAAAAGGGAACAUGGAUGCCAGGCAGAAGAAAUAAAAGCCUUUCCAAACAUUUGUAUUACAUGAUGCUGGCUCUCACUGAUAAACCACUGGAUGAGAACUGUACUUCAUCCAUAUCAUCCUGUUGGUUGCAGAUCCCGUCACCCCAUAUCUAAAACAUAUUUCCUUCUGGAGCUUUACUGUUGAUACUGCUUUGAGAUGUAUCAUUUGGUUUUGGUUUUACAUAUUUAACAUUUUAAUGAAAGGGUGACUUGAGUAAGGCACUACUUUUUCAAUAAAUAGCAACAGAACCAAUUUGCCUGGGAGGAGACCUGCCAGCAAGCCAUGAGGGGCAUUUCCAAAAUUUCCAGUAUAGGCUGCUCCCAAUUUCUGCCUCCACUUUAAAAACACUUUGCACUUACUAGUGUUAUUCCAGGAGAGCCAGUUAAUAGUUUAAUGAAACUAGUUAGAGUUUAAAGGCAGCAAAUGGGAUAAUUUAAAAUAAUCAUCCCAUUUUUAUUGAUGGUUCUCAAAUCUCUCUCCAGAUCUGACAUUUUGCCCUAGCUCAGACUUGUACCUACACUUUCUAUUCAGACUAACGUCCUCCAUAGUUUUAGGACAUCACCAUCCCAACUUGGGCACUGACAGCCCACAGGCCACAUCCUCCUCAAGUAGCAACUCAUGAACCCAGAGAACUGACUGAAAUAGUUCAGUGUUUCUUGAGCUCCCCAAGGCCUUCAGGCUUCUGUGCAGAGUGGAAGUGGUAGUGGUAGUGGCACAAGUAUGCUAAUUGCCACAGUACACUCUCCAAGGUAAGUGUAACCGGGCCCAUUCUACAGAUAAACUAAAGGUUAGGUAAAUUAAAUCUCCUGGCCCAUCCACAUCUAAUCAUCAUCAGGGCCAGGAUUCAAGUCCAGUUCUAACAACAAAAGCCAUGCCAAUGGUAACAGAGUGCGUGUGAGCUGCUAAGUACUUCUGUGUAUUAACUCAUGCCAUUAAAGUCCGUAGAUGCCAUAGGGUGACCCAGAGCCACACUGGGUAGGCCCCUCCAGGCAUUCCUUUGUCUUCCAAAUACCAACUGAGGUGCAGGCUUAUUACCCUUACGUUACUACUGGCACAAGUAAAACUUCUUCCUGCAUAUACCUUAAGACGGGGGUCUCCAGUCCCCAGGGUACAAACCACUACCAGCCUGUUAGGAACUGGGCCACAAAGCAGGAAGUGAGCGGCAGGCAAGUGAGCAAAGCUUCAUCUGUAUUUACAGAUGCUCCCCCUGGCUUGCAUUACCGCCUGAGCUCUACCUCCUGUCACAUCAGCAGCGGCAUUAGAUUUUCAUAGGACCACGAAUCCUAUUGUGAACUGCGCAUGUGAGGGAUCUGGGUUGCGUGCUUCUUUUGAGAAUCUAAUGUCUGAUGAUCUGUCACUGUUUUCCAUCACCCUCAGGUGGGACUGUCCAGUUGCAGGAAAACAAGCUCAGGGCUCCUACUGAUUCUACAUUAUAGGGAGUUGUAUAAUUAAUUCAUUACAUAUUACAAUGUAAUAAUAAUAGAAAUAAAGUGCACAAUAAAUGUAAUGCGCUUGAAUCAUCCUGAAACCAUCCUUCCCCUCAGCCCAUGGAAAAGCUGUCUUCCACAAAGCUGGUCCCUGGUUCCAAAAAGGUUGGGGACCUCUGCUGUAUACCACUGUAGUCUUAUAAACACUGUUUACUUAAUUAACCUAAACAUUUAAAAUGUUUCCUUUCUUCAAUAAUAAAUUAACCUUAGCUUACUGUAACUUUUUUCACUUUAUAAAGUUUAAAAUUAACCUCAUGGGCCUAGCACCUCAAAUCUCCCCCGCUUCUCUCUCCCCAAGCCAGCUUGCCCUCUCUUAGCUCCCUGUGGCCCUAUUUCUGUCAGCUGCAGCAGAGUUCUAGAAGAAGUGCCUGGCGUGCUCUCUGUCCAUUCCCACUCCUUCCAUCAGUCACCAUGCCCUCUAGAUUCAUUCUUCACUUCAUGGAGUUUCCUGUUCGGCAUGCUCCUCGGUUUUUGCAAGGGCUCUGCCAACUACAGGGCCACGUCAUGCCAGUGACUGCACUGGUCUCCUCCCUGGCCUCAGUGUGUCUCCACACCCCUCCCCCCAACAUUCCAGUUCUGGGCAUUCUGUAUAUUAAUGUGUUCUCUUAUUUGAAGACCUGUGACAAUUCCUAGUACGUCCAAACUAUCGGUCUGCUAGUUAGUUAACAGCCUCCACAAUUGGGUUCCCAAUCACCUACACCACCAUGUAGUGAAGUUAGUUACUGCAGUACCCCAUCCUGAUUCCUUUCCCUGGGUUUUUACCAAUGCCUUUCUCUCUUACCCAAUCUAGAAUGUCCCCUCUUCACUUCUGCUUAUUCAAACACAUCAACUCAACUAACAUUCAUUGAGCCCUCAUUCUAGUGAACACACUGUGCAAAGAGCACAGCACGAGGCACUGAGUGAACAAGGAGCACAGCACGAGGCACUGAGUGAACAAGGAGCACAGCACGAGGCACUGUGCGAAGCAUGUUCCAGUUUCAACUCUAUCCCUACACAGAGUCCGCUCUGCUCUCUCUCCCUUCUCUGAAAAACAACAAUUCCUGUUUAUGACUAGAAUUAAUAAGCACUUCUGCCAUUAAAAGGUCUAUAGAUCUUCCACCAAAUUGUGGAUUCCUUUCCAGCAAGAGGUGGGUCUCUCUGUUCUCUCCUCCUGAGCCUGGGUAGACCUUUGUAACUGUCUUGACCAACAGAAUGUGACAGAAUGAUACCAGGUGACUUCUAAGACUACAUCAUACAAAGCAACACAGCUUCUGCUGGGCUCUCCCUCUCUGGACACGUGUCUUUGAAGCCCUGAGCUGCCAGAUUAAACAGUCCGGCUUGCCUAAAGUCACCACGCUGGAGAGACCAUCAGGGAUGGAGAGGUGCUACAGAAACCCUAGCUAUUCUAGUCCCCAGCCAUUUGAGUCUUCCUAGCCCAGACUCAUAAGUGAAGAAACCUUCAAGAUGAUUCCAAUACCUCCUAUCACUUGACUGCAACCUCGUGAAAGCCUAAGCCAGACCUGCACGGUGGAGCCAUUCCUAAAUUCUGGUCCCACAGAAACUGUGAAAGAUAAUAAAUGAUCAUCAUUGCUUUACAUUGGGCUAAUUUUUAUUAUCAGGGGUAACGUGUUACAUAGCGAUAGGCAACUAAUACAAGAUUCAUUACUAAAACCACUAAAAACUUUAACCUGUUAGUCACUAUUAAUUUAAGCAAACAAAUAAGCAAUCUUCCAAUGAUGCUUCCCCAAUUUGCAUGCCUCUCUAUAACCUUACUCUGCCUUCAUUUUAAGGCCUAGCUCUUAUCACCAUAUGUGAUAUGAUUAGAUAACACGAUAUAGGCUACGUUACUGAAUAUAUGAGGAAAGGGCCUUUGUUUUGUUCACUAUUAUAUCCCCAGCACCUAGAACAGCACUUGACAACAUAUAGCAGGUGCUUGACAACCACUGGUUCAGUACAAGAAUGUAUCUGGAGAUGAUUGGGCUUAGUGUUCCUCCAAGGCUAUUUGACCUCUCAUCACCUGUUCUCCAGUUUGACUCAACGUCUCUUAAUAUAUAUUCACUGCACUGUUAAGUUUCUAACUCUCUAACUACUACUGACAAAACCAUUAGAUGUUCUUCGUUCAAACCCACUAGAGGAACUACACCAUCCCCUCCGUGAUGCCAGCUCAGCAUCCAGAGUAGAGCCAGUGAUUUCCUUUGUCAACACACCUGCAUGCCAAAAACCCUUCCCAGGAGGUCUCAAAUAUCAAAUAAAAGUUACUCCAUUUUUCAUUCAAAGACCAUGUGCCCAAUGGGAAAAUGACCUCAUGUUGUGGUUUAAACAGCAACUGCACCCACUAGCACAGCCCAUUGAGCUAUCCUAUAUAUACAU